rnacentral:rRNA from 2 species
UUAAGCGACUAAGCGUACACGGUGGAUGCCCUGGCAGUCAGAGGCGAUGAAGGACGUGCUAAUCUGCGAAAAGCGUCGGUAAGGUGAUAUGAACCGUUAUAGCCGGCGAUGUCCGAAUGGGGAAACCCAGUGCAAUUCGUUGCACUAUCGUUAACUGAAUACAUAGGUUAACGAGGCGAACCGGGGGAACUGAAACAUCUAAGUACCCCGAGGAAAAGAAAUCAACCGAGAUUCCCCCAGUAGCGGCGAGCGAACGGGGAGCAGCCCGGAGUCUGAAUCAGCUUGUGUGUUAGUGGAAGCGUCUGGAAAGUCGCAGGGUACAGGGUGAUACUCCCGUACACUAAAACGCACAGGUUGUGAACUCGAAGAGUAGGGCGGGACACGUGGUAUCCUGUCUGAAUAUGGGGGGACCAUCCUCCAAGGCUAAAUACUCCUGACUGACCGAUAGUGAACCAGUACCGUGAGGGAAAGGCGAAAAGAACCCCGGCGAGGGGAGUGAAAAAGAACCUGAAACCGUGUACGUACAAGCAGUAGGAGCCCACUAGUUGGGUGACUGCGUACCUUUUGUAUAAUGGGUCAGCGACUUAUAUUCUGUAGCAAGGUUAACCGUAUAGGGGAGCCGCAGGGAAACCGAGUCUUAACUGGGCGUUAAGUUGCAGGGUAUAGACCCGAAACCCGGUGAUCUAGCCAUGGGCAGGUUGAAGGUUGGGUAACACUAACUGGAGGACCGAACCGACUAAUGUUGAAAAAUUAGCGGAUGACUUGUGGCUGGGGGUGAAAGGCCAAUCAAACCGGGAGAUAGCUGGUUCUCCCCGAAAGCUAUUUAGGUAGCGCCUCGUGAACUCAUCUUCGGGGGUAGAGCACUGUUUCGGCUAGGGGGUCAUCCCGACUUACCAACCCGAUGCAAACUACGAAUACCGAAGAAUGUUAUCACGGGAGACACACGGCGGGUGCUAACGUCCGUCGUGAAGAGGGAAACAACCCAGACCGCCAGCUAAGGUCCCAAAGUCAUGGUUAAGUGGGAAACGAUGUGGGAAGGCCCAGACAGCCAGGAUGUUGGCUUAGAAGCAGCCAUCAUUUAAAGAAAGCGUAAUAGCUCACUGGUCGAGUCGGCCUGCGCGGAAGAUGUAACGGGGCUAAACCAUGCACCGAAGCUGCGGCAGCGACACUAUGUGUUGUUGGGUAGGGGAGCGUUCUGUAAGCCGUUGAAGGUGGCCUGUGAGGGUUGCUGGAGGUAUCAGAAGUGCGAAUGCUGACAUAAGUAACGAUAAUGCGGGUGAAAAACCCGCACGCCGGAAGACCAAGGGUUCCUGUCCAACGUUAAUCGGGGCAGGGUGAGUCGACCCCUAAGGCGAGGCCGAAAGGCGUAGUCGAUGGGAAACAGGUUAAUAUUCCUGUACUCGGUGUUACUGCGAAGGGGGGACGGAGAAGGCUAUGUUGGCCGGGCGACGGUUGUCCCGGUUUAAGCAUGUAGGCGGAUGUUCCAGGUAAAUCCGGAGCGUCACUAACGCUGAGGUGUGAUGACGAGGCACUACGGUGCUGAAGUGACAAAUGCCCUGCUUCCAGGAAAAGCCUCUAAGCAUCAGGUAACAUCAAAUCGUACCCCAAACCGACACAGGUGGUCAGGUAGAGAAUACCAAGGCGCUUGAGAGAACUCGGGUGAAGGAACUAGGCAAAAUGGUGCCGUAACUUCGGGAGAAGGCACGCUGAUGGUAGGUGAAGCGACUUGCUCGUGGAGCUGAAAUCAGUCGAAGAUACCAGCUGGCUGCAACUGUUUAUUAAAAACACAGCACUGUGCAAACACGAAAGUGGACGUAUACGGUGUGACGCCUGCCCGGUGCCGGAAGGUUAAUUGAUGGGGUUAUCCGUAAGGAGAAGCUCUUGAUCGAAGCCCCGGUAAACGGCGGCCGUAACUAUAACGGUCCUAAGGUAGCGAAAUUCCUUGUCGGGUAAGUUCCGACCUGCACGAAUGGCGUAAUGAUGGCCAGGCUGUCUCCACCCGAGACUCAGUGAAAUUGAACUCGCUGUGAAGAUGCAGUGUACCCGCGGCAAGACGGAAAGACCCCGUGAACCUUUACUAUAGCUUGACACUGAACACUGGUCCUUGAUGUGUAGGAUAGGUGGGAGGCUUUGAAGUGUGGACGCCAGUCUGCAUGGAGCCAUCCUUGAAAUACCACCCUUUAAUGGCUGGUGUUCUAACGUGGGCCCCUGAUCGGGGUUGCGGACAGUGUCUGGUGGGUAGUUUGACUGGGGCGGUCUCCUCCUAAAGAGUAACGGAGGAGCACGAAGGUCAGCUAAUCCUGGUCGGACAUCAGGAGGUUAGUGCAAUGGCAUAAGCUGGCUUGACUGCGAGCGUGACGGCGCGAGCAGGUGCGAAAGCAGGUCAUAGUGAUCCGGUGGUUCUGAAUGGAAGGGCCAUCGCUCAACGGAUAAAAGGUACUCCGGGGAUAACAGGCUGAUACCGCCCAAGAGUUCAUAUCGACGGCGGUGUUUGGCACCUCGAUGUCGGCUCAUCACAUCCUGGGGCUGAAGUAGGUCCCAAGGGUAUGGCUGUUCGCCAUUUAAAGUGGUACGCGAGCUGGGUUUAGAACGUCGUGAGACAGUUCGGUCCCUAUCUGCCGUGGGCGCUGGAGAAUUGAGGGGGGCUGCUCCUAGUACGAGAGGACCGGAGUGGACGCAUCACUGGUGUUCGGGUUGUCAUGCCAAUGGCAUUGCCCGGUAGCUAAAUGCGGAAGAGAUAAGUGCUGAAAGCAUCUAAGCACGAAACUUGCCCCGAGAUGAGUUCUCCCUGACUCCCUGAGAGUCCUGAAGGAACGUUGAAGACGACGACGUUGAUAGGCCGGGUGUGUAAGCGCAGCGAUGCGUUGAGCUAACCGGUACUAAUGAACCGUGAGGCUUAACCUU